AAAGUGGUAGCACAUUUUAUUCACAGAGCAAUGAAAAUUAUUCCUAUAAAUUAAUGUGAGCUGAACAAAUUCACCUUCCAAUGUGCAUACAGAAAGUGGGGAUGUGAAGACAGCAAGGUGGGUGAGACACAAGUUAUGAAGUAAUGAGUACCUUCUCCUCGUGGUUUUUACUUUAAAAGCACAUGCUAAGAGCUGGAUGCAGUGGCUCACGCCUGUACUCUCAGCACUUUGGGAGGCCAAGCAUCUAAGAACGGGUACAUGUGGGCUAUAAAGCGCUCCACAGUGCUGGGAAUGCCUACGCAUCUGCUGUUCAAUACAGUAGCCAGUGGCCACACGUGGCUGUUCAGUGUUUGAGACGUGGCUGGUGCAACCGAGAAAAGGAAUUUUGAAUUGUUUAUUCUAUUUUAUUUUAUUUUAGAGACGGAGUCUUACUCUUUCACCUAGGCUGGAGUGCAGUGGUGCAAUCUCAGCUUACUGCAACCUCCGCCUCCCGGGUUCAAGUGAUUCUCCUGCCUCAGCCUCCCGAGUAGCUGGGAUUACAGGUGUGUGACACCAC
rnacentral:lncRNA from 10 species